GAGUUUGAUCCUGGCUCAGAACUAACGCUUGUGGUGUGUCUUAGUCAUGCAAGUCGAACGAGAAAGUCGCCUUCGGGUGACGAGUACAGUAGCGAACGGGUGAGUAACACGUGGGCAAUCUGCCCCUAGGUUGGGGAUAACACUUCCAACGAGGUGCUAAUACCGAAUGACAAGGCGAGUUGAUGACUCGUUUUUAAAGGUGGCCUCUACUUGUAAGCUGCCGCCUAGGGAUGGGCCCGCGUCGUAUUAGCUUGUUGGUAGGGUAACGGCCUACCAAGGCGACGAUGCGUAGCCGGCCUGAGAGGGUGAACGGCCACACUGGCACUGAGAUAAGGGCCAGUCUCCUACGGGAGCCAGCAGUCUAGAAAUUUGCACAAUCGCCGAAAGGCAGAUGCAGCGACACCACGUGGAGGAUGAAGCCCCUCGGGGUGUAAACUCCUGUCAGAAGGGAAGAAGGCGUGGGCGUUAAUACCGCUCGUUGCUUGACGGUACCUUCAGAGGAAGCUCCGGCUAACUACGUGCCAGCAGCCGCGGUAAUACGUAGGGAGCGAGCGUUGUUCGGAUUUACUGGGCGUAAAGGGCACGUAGGCGGGUAUGCAAGUCGGUUGUGAAAUCCUCUGGCUCACCCAGAGAACUGCAGCCGAAACUGCACACCUUG
rnacentral:rRNA from 1 species